rnacentral:rRNA from 1 species
AUUGCACGCUGGCGGCAGGCCUAACACAUGCAAGUCGAGCGAGCGGCGGACGGGUGAGUAAUGUAUGGGGACUGCCCGUUAGAGGGGGAUCACUACUGGAAACGGUAGCUAAUACAGCAUACUAUCGACUAGCCCAUAUGGGAUUAGCUAGUAGGUGAGGUAAUGGCUCACCUAGGCGACGAUCCCUAGCUGGUCUGAGAGGAUGCUCAGACACACUGGGACUGAGACACGGCCCAGACUCCUACGGAGGCAGCAGUGGGGAAUAUUGCACAAUGGGCGCAAGCCUGAUGCAGCCAUGCCGCGUGUAUGAAGAAGGCCCUAGGGUUGUAAAGUACUUUCAGUCGGGAGGCGUUACCGACAGAAGAAGCACCGGCUAACUCCGUGCCAGCAGCCGCGGUAAUUC